CGACAUUUGAAAUUGAAAGGAGUGUUCCCGAGAGGAGAGGGGCUAAAAAGAAAAACGAGUGAAUUCAAAUUGGCGUUCUCAAGCUUUUAACGUAUCUUCCCAAAAAUACACUCAUUGUUCUUCCAAUCCAAUCCCCCACCAAAAUCCCCACAAACCAACAAUCCAUUGCCGCCGGGAAAAAACCCAAAACGACGUUCUCUUCACCAUUUUCCAUGCUGGGAUCGUCUUCAUCUCUACACCACCAUUAUUACUACAGCUGGAAACAGAAAUCUCUGGGCUUCUUUGAUUUGUUGUGAUUAUCAAUCGUGUUUCUUCUUCUUCUUCUUCCUCCCCUCCCCACCAGUUUAGUAGCUCUGUACAAUCGUCAUGGAAUCGAAAUGAUUGGGCUUGAUGACGCUACGCUGCCUCCAAAUUAGAUUUUUGUUUCCGACAUUUGUAUUGUAAUGUUUUUCAUUUCCGCUUGGGUCUGAAUCUGAUUGUGUCUCCAGGAGAUUCCAUGAUAUUGUCAGUGUUCUCGAGAGUGUUGUGGAAGAAGGUGCUAAGGACACUUCUCACAGAUUCUAAACGAACGAGUAUGUCAAAUUAGGUAUCUGAUGAUGAGGAUGAUUCUUUUCAAAAACUGCCCAUCUUCAGAUUCCUCAAGAUUAGGCGCUUUGUUUUUUGUUCUGUGUUUGGGGGCUUAAUUCCAUUUGCCAAGUAGAAAUUCAGUGAUGUACCAAUUUCUAGGUUAGAAUAAGCCAUCUUGUCAGUUAUAUAAGUAGUACAUGGACCUUUAUGCCAAAGAAUAAGCCAUCUUGUCGGUUGUUUUUCUCGUCACCAACCCGACCAACUCUUUUUCCGGACGUUGCAUGUCCAGGAAAUGAAUUGCUCU